rnacentral:lncRNA from 1 species
AGACAUGUGGGUGAAAAGCAAAAUAUAAGGGAUUAGUUAUGCCUCAAAAUACAUGGCACACGGUUGAGCUGAGCUCAUUAUUAGACAAUGCUGCCCAAUACAAAGCAGAGUGAGAAGCCAGUGUCAGUGGGGCCCCCUGAGGCCUGCACUUCUCCAGAGCUGUUGGGGGCUAGCUUCUGUGCUUUUACAUCACCUUGUAGUCUGCAGGGGAGCAUGGAAAAAGUCCGCCCUUCUUUUAUUUUCCUCUUCAGCCUACACAAUGGCUUUCUGUGAGAGGGCUUGGUAAGGCAGAACAGAAGGGAAGUGAAAGAGUUUCCAAGGUUCUUCUAGUCAGCCCCCCCUUUUGUAUAGAUGGUGACAUGUGGCUUUUGCAGUUGCACACGGCUUCACACACUGGACCCAUACAGUGUGUGUAGCAAAAGCCUGUUGGCCAGAACAGGGCUGGGGUGGUGGGGAGCAGGGGUCAGAACAGCUUUAUUUUCAUGGGUUAGAAAUUAGCUGCAAAAUUGUCCAUCAGCAAGGAGAGGUCUGCAAAAGGGGGUUACUUUCCUUGAACUGCUUUGAACCUGGAUUGCCAGGAUCAUUUCUAGGUGUUUACUUCUAUUAGACAUUACUGUGUGCACUCACUCCCAGGCAGCCUGAGUUUGAAGGAGGAGAUAAUCCUCUCUUGUGAAGUUUUGGAGGGUAAAGGAUCAGGAGUCUGCUAAGCUGUUUAGACUUGAGUCUGUGUUGGAAUCAUUUCUUUCCCCCAUGAUGCUGAGGUGCAGAGAAGUAGUUCUCUGAAGUUUCAAGCAUAAAAAAUACUUUUCUUCCUAACAGCUCUAGAUUUCUGCACAGUAUGAGACUACAGCUUGGGAAGCUUUUCUGUCUACCUUGUUUUUCAGUUUUCACUAGGGAAUUCUAAGAUACUGUGUUCUUCAGUUGAGUAUUUAUAUCCUGUUUUGAAAUGCUGAGUGGAGUGCAUCUACUUGUUUCUACAUAUUUUUUAAGGGGAACUGAAAGGUCAGGUCCCAAGCUUUAGGGCUACCACAGCUAUUUAAAAGGGGUAAUAAUUGUCCUCCCCUUCCUGUUGGCAGAGAAUGGAGGUAUUUCUGGAAUUGCAAUGCAAUAACAAAAAGGGCCACAGCUGUAUGCGUUUUCUUUUUCUUGGCUCCCUCAGUAGAGGGAAGGACCAUAGUGGCUUUGCUCAUUUCACAGGACCAGUGCUAAGCUCAGUGCCUGGCACAUUGUAGUAGGUGCUUAGAGUUUGUUGAUCAUUGGGUUGAUCAUUGUGUUAGAAUUGGCCCUAGUGGCAGUGUGGUGUCACAGUUGUAAUCCACUUGUGUUCCCACAUCUUUUACUUGAUGAUCUAGCCUGUGGGUUUCUGCUGCCGGAAAACCUGUAUCAGGCUCUUUGUUCCCUCCAAUAGCUAAUUUAAAAAACAUACAUACUUUUUAUCACACACCCAGACUCUUCCAGGCUUUCUAUCCUAAAUACAGAUAAAGCCAUGGCUCCAAAUAUAUACUGUGUACAAGAGCCACCUGGUCAGUAAGGAGCACCUGGGUCAGACCAGUUUCCAUAUAAGCAUUCUAUAAACAUUUGUUAAGCUACUACUGAGAGACUAGAAAAUUCCCAAACAAUUCUUGACCUCAAGAAAUUUAGUCAUGCCAACAAGAAUCAAUCUUUGUUACUGCCUGGUUUUCUUAACUUCAAUAAAUCUGCUUUUAGAGUAGCUUAUCAGUUAAA